rnacentral:rRNA from 1 species
UCCUACGGGAGGCAGCAGUCGAGAGGCUUCGGCAAUGGGGGAAACCCUGACCGAGUGACGCCGCGUGGGCGAUGAAGGUCGUAAGAUCGUAAAGCCCUGUCAGAGGGGAAGAAACCCUGGGGUGUUAAUACCACCUCAGCUUGACGUUACCCUCAGAGGAAGCUCCGGCUAACUCCGUGCCAGCAGCCGCGGUAACACGGGGGGAGCGAACGUUGUUCGGAAUCACUGGGCGUAAAGGGCGCGCAGGCGGCCUGGUCAGUGAGACGUGAAAGCCCCUGGCUUAACCAGGGAAUUGCGUCUCAUGCUGCCAGGCUUGAGGACGGGAGAGGAAACGGGAAUUCCCGGUGUAGCGGUGACAUGCACUGAUAUCGGGAGGAACACCAGUGGCGAAGGCGCGUUUCUGGCCCGUUCCUGACGCUCAGGCGCGAAAGCUGGGGGAGCAAACAGGAUUAGAUACCCUGGUAGUCCCAGCCGUAAACGGUGAACACUAGGUGUGGGGGGCAUCGACCCCUUCCGUGCCGUAGCUAACGCAUUAAGUGUUCCGCCUGGGGAGUACGAUCGCAAGGUUGAAACUCAAAUGAAUUGACGGGGCCCCGCACAAGCGGCGGAGCAUGCGGCUUAAUUCGAUGCAACCCGAAGAACCUUACCUGGGCUUGACAUCAUGGGUCUAUCCCUAGAGAUAGGGAGUGCUUACGCGUCCAUGACAGGUGGUGCAUGGCUGUCGUCAGCUCGUGUCGUGAGAUGUUGGGUUAAGUCCCGCACGAGCGCAACCCCUGUCCUAUGUUGCCAGCAUUUAGUGGGGACUCAUAGGAGACUGCCGAGACACUCGGAGGAAGGCGGGAACGAACGUUCAAGUCCAUCAUGCCCU